ACUCAAUGUUCUGGGACAAGAAGAGGAAGCAGCAGAGAGAUGGCCUAGAGGAGAGGGACUUAUUUUUGCCAAGCGUGAUGAAGACACAUCCACCUUACCUCGGAGAUGGGAAUGCAGUACUAAGGA
rnacentral:lncRNA from 1 species